rnacentral:rRNA from 1 species
GCCACUGCUAUCGGAGUUCGAUUAAGCCAUGCGAGUCGAGAGGUGCAAGACCUCGGCAUACUGCUCAGUAACACGUGGACAACCUAACCUAUGGAGGGGGAUAACCCCGGGAAACUGGGGAUAAUACCCCAUAGACUAUGGAUGCUGGAAUGCUCUGUAGUUGAAAGGUCCGCCGCCAUAGGAUGGGUCUGCGGCCGAUUAGGUUGUUGUUGGGGUAACGGCCCAACAAGCCUGUAAUCGGUACGGGUUGUGGGAGCAAGAGCCCGGAGAUGGAUUCUGAGACACGAAUCCAGGCCCUACGGGGCGCMSAGGCGCGAAAACUUUACAAUGCGGGAAACCGUGAUAAGGGAACUCCGAGUGCCCGUAAAAUCGGGCUGUCCAUCUGUUUAAAUAACAGGUGAAGAAAGGGCCGGGCAAGACCGGUGCCAGCCGCCGCGGUAAUACCGGCGGCUCGAGUGGUGGCCACUAUUACUGGGCUUAAAGCGUUCGUAGCUGGUUUGUUAAGUCUCUGGGGAAAUCUUCCGGCUUAACCGGAAGGCGUCUCAGGGAUACUGGCAGACUAGGGACCGGAAGAGGUGAGGGGUACUCCAGGGGUAGGAGUGAAAUCCUGUAAUCCUUGGGGGACCACCUGUGGCGAAGGCGCCUCACCAGGACGGCUCCGACAGUGAGGGACGAAAGCUGGGGGAGCAAACCGGAUUAGAUACCCGGGUAGUCCCAGCCGUAAACGAUGUGCGUUAGGUGUAUCGGUGACCACGAGUCACCGAGGUGCCGAAGAGAAAUCGUGAAACGUACCGCCUGGGAAGUACGGUCGCAAGGCUGAAACUUAAAGGAAUUGGCGGGGGAGCACCACAACAGGUGGAGCCUGCGGUUUAAUCGGACUCAACGCCGGAAAACUCACCAGAUAAGACAGCUGAAUGAUAGUCGGGCUGAAGACUCUACUUGACUAGCUGAGAGGAGGUGCAUGGCCGUCGUCAGUUCGUACUGUGAAGCAUCCUGUUAAGUCAGGY